rnacentral:lncRNA from 1 species
GCUUUGAGAGAAUGAUAGUAACUUGUUAGUUCAAUUAGCCCAAUACCCAUUCGUUACCACGGGGAAAAGGUGAGGAGUACCUACACACGCAAUGUCCCAAGCUCCAAAGUUCCUAUGCAUUGACUACUACGUGAUUCAUCGAUCAGUCGGUUCCAUGUAUAUACAUCCAACCAAACAAUUACACUACAAACUGGAUUGAUUACUAAUUGUAAACCUACUUACCUAGAUGAUUUAAGAAACAAGGACAUGCAAACCAAAAAUGAAUCGUUACUUCUUGUGCAAAUUUCAACAUGGCUUGAGAAAAUUGUAGAUCUAUUUCUCGCGUAGAUCUGAACAUGAGUUAAGCAGACUAUAGAUCAUGAAAAUUUGACAAGUACUAUAUAUAGACUAACAUGACAUGCAACUACUGGGGACAACAUAUCUCUGAGAAAGGGUGAUCAUCAUGAACCUAUAAUGGAAGGGAAGGAAUACACCUAGUAAUCCAAGCAUCACAAAUGCAUCAUGUUCUCCAGAGGCUAUCCAUAGCGUUUCUGAUAAUGUGGUCCAUAGGACUGAAUCUGCUCUGGAGGCUAACGCGACACCUUUCAUAUGAACUGGCCCAAUGAAGACCAUGUACUUCCCUGUGCAAUAUAGGUGUACAGAGAGAAAGAGGUGCAUUGAGGAUGUGUUCCCUAACAAUAGCAACCACACAUUGACCUGGACAAGAAAGCCUCUUCUGAAUAGCAAAUGCGGCUAAUUUUUAUUGCAAUGGUGCCGAAUGCCCAUGCAUGAUGAUCUUCUAACCUAUGUUUUUAUGCCAUAUGAAAAAGAGGCAUUAUUUAUGUAAAGUGUGGAGCAGAAAAAGGGUUCAGCGGUAAUGAAACAUGCAAUUUUCCUCUCAAAAUACUUAUUGCUACAGAAUAUCAAGUCCAGCAUAAUUAGCUUCAUUUGAUUCAGUUAUUCUAAACUAAUAAUGUUUUUCUCAUCCAUUUGCUUAUUUUAAAGAUUCCAAACUUAAAUGUUAAAGGUUUCAUCUUAAAUGAAAUGUAUUAAGCUUGUAUAAGGCAGUGGUUGUUUUUAAACAGCACUACAAAAUUUCUAGAGAGAUUAAGAAAUGAUUGAAUAGUACACCAUAAAUAUCUGUAUCUAACAAAUAAUCAAAAAUGUCAUGAAUUAUUAUUAGAGCUUCAUAGCGACUAAAUGAUCAAACAUUGUGAUAUACACACCUUCAAUAAGCGAACAAACAUGGCCAUAUUAGCACUGACCCUCGAUGGAUUCCCCACAACAACUUCUAGUGCAUUCGCCUUGGCAAACUUCCAUGCCACCAUCUCUGCCAAUGUCUUCAAAGGAGGGCACUAAACCUAUCAAAGGAAAUAUAGAACCUGAUAUUAAUGUGGAGUCAGGCCGAAACAUGUUGAAUCUUAACAAUUAUGCAACAAUUUCAAAUGGUGCCCUUAUGUGUGCCUUUCUGUCCAUUGAUCCAAGAACAAGGCUUGCCUAUCAUUGAAAUUACAUAAAUAAUUUAACAUAUUCAUAAACAGUUCACCGGACUAAGGACCUUCAUAGAUUAUAAGAAUAGACUAACGCUGGAACAUAUCAUGGACCCUUGGAAUACAUUUUUUAAAUGUUUAAAUGGACUACUAUUGACACAAGUAGAUUUAGUCCAUUAAAAUUGAAGUCGGUGAAUUUAAAAUAAAGAACAUCACAUAAGAUUGGAUCUCAUUAGUGCAAGUUUGGUCAGCAAAACUCACGACAACUUUUUCAGUAAGGAUAGGAAGCAUGGUGCCAUUCCAUGAAUCAGCAGAGGAUGUGAACCGGGGAGAAUGGUGGUAGUAGCAGUGGGGCGGCAAAGCCAUCUCGAACACUUGGAUCAUGAGGAAGACCAACCUGCUUAAUUUAACUUGCCUGCAACUGAAGCGAUAAUUGUGUGUAUUAUAAUCGACACUGUAGAUGGGACAUACCCAUCAAAUUCAUCAGAAAUAAUAGAGCACACAUUAGUAACACAGGGAAAAAAAUCCUUGUGGGUGUGUAAGACGGUCCUACAAAUAAAUUCACAAAUACAACGAGAUUCCACAAUAAAAAACUGACAUGAAUGAUUUUUAUCAAGCAGUAUUUUGGAAAUUUAAGGAUCCCCACAACAUAUACAUGAGAUUAAGACAAUGAGAAAACAUACAGUCUGCAUUCAUAAACUAAUUAGAGCUAUAAGUAUUCAUCUAGGUAGAAAAGCAAACAUCAAACCAUAAGCUCUGUAUGCCGGCACCACUUGCCAGAUUUCCACCGGCGACCUCCUCCAGCUAGUUGCUCCUCCCACGGUUCCACCGCCUCCUUCCAUCCGUCGCCACCAGCCGGUGCCCCUCCGUUCGUUGCGCCAUCAGCCGUCCCUUGCCACUAGUCGCCCCUUCCUUGGGAGAAGAGAAUGUGGGGGUGUGGCAGUUCCUGCAAUCAUGCUACAGGGAGAAAAUGGGGUGGAGGGAGGGUAGAGAGAUAGCAUUACCUGGGUCGUUGCUCGCCCCUAACAUUGGUGUGCCGCUCCUAAUCUCACCCCUCCUGUGUGGUGCUCUUGACUCGAAGAAGAAGAGAUAUGGGAUGCGAAUGAGCUCCUCCUAAACUCGAUGAAAAAUAUAUGACAUGCGAACGAGCAGAUUCACCACUCCAAUCUAGGUUGGCUGCAGCUUGUUUCCGCUCGUGGGAGGGAGGUGGUCGGCGGCGGCGAUUUAGAGAGACGAGGGAUCGAGCGAGGGAUUUGGGGAAGGGGAGUGGGAGGUGGGACGUGCGUACGUGGGUUCUUUAUUUUCUUUUUAN